CCCUAUGGAGCUUAAAUUUAACGCCCAUGUUCCACUCUACAACUCCCAGGAGCUCAAUACCCCAACAUUUGGGUGAACAAUUUUGGUUGGGGUGACCUCGGAGCACAAAACAACCUCCGAGCAUUAUUUACCUAGACUUCACCAGUCAAAGUACAUAAAUAUCAUAUUCAUUGACCCAAACAAUUGAUCAACGAAACAAGUUACCCUAGGGAUAACAGCGCA
rnacentral:rRNA from 1 species